rnacentral:rRNA from 3 species
CUAUAGAUGUAAAGGCAGUAAUGUCAAAGUCGAGUAGUACUAAUAGCCCGUAAGCUUAUGU